rnacentral:rRNA from 1 species
GGGCCCGCACAAGCGGUGGAGUAUGUGGUUUAAUUCGAUGCAACGCGAAGAACCUUACCAGGGUUUGACAUCCUGCGAAUCUCUUGGAAACAGGAGAGUGCCUUCGGGAACGCAGUGACAGGUGGUGCAUGGCUGUCGUCAGCUCGUGUCGUGAGAUGUUGGGUUAAGUCCCGCAACGAGCGCAACCCACGUCUUUAGUUGCCAGCAUUUAGUUGGGCACUCUAGAGAGACUGCCGGUGAUAAACCGGAGGAAGGUGUGGAUGACGUCAAGUCCUCAUGGCCCUUACGGGUUGGGCUACACACGUGCUACAAUGGUAUGACAAUGGGUUAAUCCCAAAAAGCUA